AACGAACGCUAGCAGCGUGGAUUAGGCAUGCAAGUCGUGCGCGAAAGUCUUCGGACGAGUAAAGCGGCGAAAGGGUGAGUAACACGUAACCAACGUACCCCUCAGAUUGGGAUAACCACUGGAAACGGUGGGUAAUACCGGAUGGUCCUACGGGUCGACAUCGACUCGAUGGUAAACGGCGGCUUCGGCUGCUGCUGAGGGAGCGGGUUGCGGCCUAUCAGCUUGUUGGUGAGGUAAUGGCUCACCAAGGCGAUGACGGGUAGCGGGUCUGAGAGGAUGGUCCGCCACACUGGGACUGAGACACUGCCCAGACUCCUACGGGAGGCUGCAGUCGAGAAUCUUCCACAAUGGACGAAAGUCUGAUGGAGCGACGCUGCGUGCAGGAUGAAGGCCUUAGGGUUGUAAACUGCUGUCACGCUAUAGGAACCGUUAGUCGUUAAUAGCGGCUAGCCUGACCAAAGCGAGAGGAAGUGCCGGCUAACUCCG
rnacentral:rRNA from 1 species